GGUUCUGCCGGAGGCGGAUUCAUGUGUGCGGCACAGCAGCGCAGCAGGCCUCCAUGUCUUAUAAAACAGAACUAACAAGGUGUUCAUAAAAAUGUAGAUGCCCAGAGCCAUGUGCUGGAUAGGAAUACACACAAGACCAUACUUUUCAAACUAAAAUCGGAGCAGUGGAAUCAGAGAAUAGCAAAGUAAGGAUUUUUUUUUCUUCAGAAAAGCUAAAGAGCUGCUGACAAAUCUUGAAGAAAGAUACACAUGAGAAGAAAGUUACAGAGACGAGAGCAGAGCUGGACUCAGAGGAAGAGAGUGGUGGGGAGAGAAGGAGGAAGACCAUGCCAACACCCAAAAGACAGCAUAUUUCUCUCCAGGAGACUGAGACCAAUUUGACAGAUCCAAUUGUGUGUAUAGUUGAAUCUUUUGAACAAAACCAUAAUAAUCCUCACUAUGA
rnacentral:lncRNA from 1 species